UUAAAAUCUGGCAGCUUCGCUGUCCGAGUUGUAAUUUAGAGAAGUGUUACCCUUGCUGGACCGUGUACAAGUUUCCUGGAACGGAACGUCAUAGAGGGUGAGAAUCCCGUCUUUGACACGGACUCCCAGUAUGUUGUGGUGCGCUCUCGAAGAGUCGUGUUGUUUGGGAAUGCAGCACUAAAUGGGUGGUAAAUUCCAUCUAAAGCUAAAUAUUGGCGAGAGACCGAUAGCAAACAAGUACCGUGAGGGAAAGAUGAAAAGAACUUUGGAAAGAGAGUUAAACAGUACGUGAAAUUGUUGAAAGGGAAACGCUUGAAGUCUAGUCGCAUCGGUUGGGAAUCAGUCUUGCUUCUGCUUGAUUCACUUCCCAAUCGAUGGGUCAGCAUCAGUUUCGACCGUUGGAUAAAGGUUGGGGGAAUGUGGCAUCCUCGGAUGUGUUAUAGCCUCUGAUUGUAUACAACGGUUGGGACUGAGGAACUCAGCACGCCGCAAGGCCGGGUACUUGUACCACGUUCGUGCUUAGGAUGCUGGCAUAAUAGCUUUAAUCGACCCGUCUUGAAACACGGACCAAGGAGUCUAACAUGCCUGCGAGUGUUUGGGUGGAAAACCCGAGCGCGCAAUGAAAGUGAAAGUUGAGAACUCAUCAGAGUGCAUCGACGCCCGGACCAGACGUUUU
rnacentral:rRNA from 1 species